rnacentral:rRNA from 1 species
UACGUAGGUGGCAAGCGUUGUCCGGAAUUAUUGGGCGUAAAGCGCGCGCAGGCGGCCUCUUAAGUCUGAUGUGAAAUCUUGCGGCUCAACCGCAAGCGGCCAUUGGAAACUGGGGGGCUUGAGUACGAGAAGAGGAGAGUGGAAUUCCAACGUGUAGCGGUGAAAUGCGUAGAUAUGUGGAGGAACACCAGUGGCGAAGGCGACUCUCUGGUCUGUAACUGACGCUGAGGCGCGAAAGCGUGGGGAGCAAACAGG